UACGUAGGGCGCAAGCGUUUGUCCGGAAUUAUUGGGCGUAAAGAGCUCGUAGGCGGUCUGUCGCGUCUGUUGUGAAAACUCGAGGCUCAACCUCGGGCUUGCAGUGGAUACGGGCAGACUAGAGUGCGGUAGGGGAGACUGGAAUUCCUGGUGUAGCGGUGGAAUGCGCAGAUAUCAGGAGGAACACCGAUGGCGAAGGCAGGUCUCGUGGGCCGCAACUGACGCUGAGGAGCGAAAGCAUGGGGAGCGAACAGG
rnacentral:rRNA from 1 species